CAGAUACUCCCUUCGUCCGAAAUUACUAGUUGGAUAAAUAGAUGUAUCUAACGUAUUUUAACUCUGGAUACAUCCAUUUUUAUCUAUUUCUACAACAAAUAAUUCCGGAUGGAGGGAGUACAAU
rfam:Triticum aestivum genome assembly, contig: Triticum_aestivum_CS42_TGACv1_scaffold_018972_1AS